rnacentral:rRNA from 1 species
GUAAUGUCUGGGAAACUGCCUGAUGGAGGGGGAUAACUACUGGAAACGGUGGCUAAUACCGCAUAACGUCGCAAGACCAAAGAGGGGGACCUUCGGGCCUCUUGCCAUCAGAUGUGCCCAGAUGGGAUUAGCUUGUUGGUGAGGUAACGGCUCACCAAGGCGACGAUCCCUAGCUGGUCUGAGAGGAUGACCAGCCACACUGGAACUGAGACACGGUCCAGACUCCUACGGGAGGCAGCAGUGGGGAAUAUUGCACAAUGGGCGCAAGCCUGAUGCAGCCAUGC